AGAACGAACGCUGGCGGCAUGCCUAAUACAUGCAAGUCGAACGAACUCUUCGGAGUUAGUGGCGCACGGGUGCGUAACGCGUGGGAAUCUGCCCCUUGGUUCGGAAUAACAGUUGGAAACGACUGCUAAUACCGGAUGAUGACGAAAGUCCAAAGAUUUAUCGCCAAGGGAUGAGCCCGCGUAGGAUUAGCUAGUUGGUGAGGUAAAGGCUCACCAAGGCAACGAUCCUUAGCUGGUCUGAGAGGAUGAUCAGCCACACUGGGACUGAGACACGGCCCAGACUCCUACGGGAGGCAGCAGUGGGGAAUAUUGGACAAUGGGCGAAAGCCUGAUCCAGCCAUGCCGCGUGUGUGAAGAAGGUCUUCGGAUUGUAAAGCACGUUUAAGUGGGAGGAA
rnacentral:rRNA from 1 species